rnacentral:rRNA from 1 species
GACGAACGCUGGCGGCGUGCUUAACACAUGCAAGUCGAGGGGCAGCAUAGGGUAGCAAUACUCUGAUGGCGACCGGCAAACGGGUGAGUAACGCGUAUGCAACCUACCCUGUACAGGGGGAUAACCCGGAGAAAUUCGGACUAAUAUCCCGUAAUAAUAUCCGGAGGCAUCUUUGGAUAUUUAAAGUUCCGACGGUACGGGAUGGGCAUGCGUAACAUUAACUGGUUGGUAAGGUAACGGCUUACCAAGGCUAUGAUGUUUAGGGGUCCUGAGAGGGUGGUCCCCCACACUGGUACUGAGACACGGACCAGACUCCUACGGGAGGCAGCAGUGAGGAAUAUUGGUCAAUGGGCGCAAGCCUGAACCAGCCAUCCCGCGUGCAGGAAGACGGCCCUAUGGGUUGUAAACUGCUUUUCCAGGGAGAGAAACUUACGCACGUGUUGCGUGACUGACGGUACCCUGGGAAUAAGCAUCGGCUAACUCCGUGCCAGCAGCCGCGGUAAAACGUCUA